AAGACCGCGUGAGGGAGGAAGGCUCUUGGGUUGUAAACCUCUUUCUCUGGGAAGAACAAAAAUGACGGUACCAGAGGAAUCAGCAUCGGCUAACUCCGUGCCAGCAGCCGCGGUAAGACGGAGGAUGCAAGCGUUAUCCGGAAUGAUUGGGCGUAAAGCGUCCGCAGGUGGCAAUUCAAGUCUGCUGUUAAAGCGCAGGGCUUAACCCUGUAAAGGCAGUGGAAACUGAAUAGCUAGAGUAUGGUAGGGGUAGAGGGAAUUCCCAGUGUAGCGGUGAAAUGCGUAGAUAUUGGGAAGAACAUCGGUGGCGAAGGCGCUCUACUGGACCAUAACUGACACUCACAGGACGAAAGCUAGGGGAGCGAAUGGGAUUAGAUACCCCAGUAGUCCUAGCCGUAAACGAUGGAUACUAGGUGUUGUCUGUAUCGACCCGGACAGUGCCGUAGCUAACGCGUUAAGUAUCCCGCCUGGGGAGUACGCACGCAAGUGUGAAACUCAAAGGAAUUGACGGG
rnacentral:rRNA from 1 species